rnacentral:pre_miRNA from 1 species
GAGACACCCUUAUGGGGCAGGACUUGCUUCAGUGGGGCUUUGGUACUCGCUGAGUCUGCCCGUUAGGUGUGUCACU